rnacentral:rRNA from 1 species
ACUCCUACGGGAGGCAGCAGUAGGGAAUUUUUCACAAUGGACGAAAGUCUGAUGAAGCAAUACCGCGUGAGGGAUGACGGUUUUCGGACUGUAAACCUCUGUCAUAAGGGAAGAACAAGUUAGUUAGGAAAUGAACUAACUCUGACGGUACCUUAUUAGAAAGUCACGGCUAACUAUGUGCCAGCAGCCGCGGUAAUACAUAGGUGGCAAGCGUUAUCCGGAUUUAUUGGGCGUAAAGAGUGCACAGGUGGUUAUAUAAGUUUGAUGUUAAAGCCCGAAGCUCAACUUCGGUUUGCAUUGAAAACUGUAUAACUAGAAUGCAGGUGGGGACAGUGGAAUUCGAUGUGUAGCGGUGGAAUGACAU